UACGUAGGGUGCGAGCGUUAAUCGGAAUUACUGGGCGUAAAGCGUGCGCAGGCUGUUCUGUAAGUCAGAUGUGAAAUCCCCGAGCUCAACUUGGGAACUGCGUUUGAAACUACAGGACUAGAAUAUGUCAGAGGGGGGGUAGAAUUCCACGUGUAGCAGUGAAAUGCGUAGAGAUGUGGAGGAAUACCAAUGGCGAAGGCAGCCCCCUGGGAUAAUAUUGACGCUCAUGCACGAAAGCGUGGGGAGCAAACAGGG
rnacentral:rRNA from 1 species